GUUCAGCUGCUCCUGAUACAGCCAGUUAUUGGUGAGGAGUCCUGCUUCCUCACAUGUUGAAGUUUAGAUAUUGGAGAAGUAUGCUGAGGCAAGCAGCCUCUGCAUCUCUGCUCCUCAAUAAACUGGGGUCGUUGGCACAAUCACAAGAAACUCAAGCUCAUCUGAAUUUUUCCGACCAAUCGAUGAAAAGAGAUGAAGACUUCCAAGUACUUUGAGUCUUGAAGUCGAGAGUAUUUUGAGGUUAUUCAGUGGGAUGCUGAAGAGUAAAAACAAGAACAAGAUGGACAAACUGAGGAUGAUUCUCAGAAACCUGUGAGGAUGCUAGAAUGACCAAACUUCAAUUCUGUGAGGAUGCUGCCUGGGAAUUACUGUGCAUUUCUUCCUUACAGGGCUGCUGCACCGAUAAGGGUUUUACAACACUCUAGAGAUUUAGACAGGAAAGAGGACUACUGAUUUUUGUUUUUUUCAUUUUAAACACCACACUUUUAAAAUUUCAUAUUUGCCUUUAUGGGGGAAGUGCUUCUUUCUCUGUCAACAACAACAAUACUAAAAGCCAUCAUUAAAUUAAUUUUGAUAUAAAGUGGAUUGUUGAUGAGAAUUAGAGAACUCUGUUAUAUCAGGGCAGAGGGCUGCCUAUACAAUAGUCUCCCCUUUGUUCUUGGAGAACACAUUUCUAGACCACCAGUGAUGCCUGAAACCACAGAUAUUACUCAACUCUCUCUCCAUUACUUUUCUACACAUACAUGCAUACAUAUGUUUCAUAAAGUUUAUGAAUUAAGCAUAGUAAGAGAUUAGCACCAUAACUAAUAACAAAAUAGUAUAAUUAUAGUAAUAUACCGUAAUAAAAUUUAUGUGAAUGUACUCUUUUUCUUUCAAAAUAUCUUGCUGUAUUGUACUUUAUUUUUGGACUGCU